UACGUAGGGCGCAAGCGUUGUCCGGAAUUAUUGGGCGUAAAGAGCUCGUAGGCGGCCAGUUGCGUCCGCUGUGAAAUCCCGGGGCUUAACCCCGGGCGUGCAGUGGAUACGGGCUGGCUAGAGGCAGGCAGGGGAGAACGGAAUUCCUGGUGUAGCGGUGAAAUGCGCAGAUAUCAGGAGGAACACCGGUGGCGAAGGCGGUUCUCUGGGCAUGUCCUGACGCUGAGGAGCGAAAGUGUGGGGAGCGAACAGG
rnacentral:rRNA from 1 species